rnacentral:lncRNA from 1 species
CCAGAUCAUCAAUAGACACUACUAACAACAUAUUCUAACAACAAAUCAUAACAUCUAACGACAGAUUGAUGGACAGAUUUUUCAUGCUAGGGUUUUACCUUCUUUGAUCGAUUUCUGAUUCUGGACUACUGAUUUGGUUAUGAGUGAUCGUGGAGUUUGAUUAUGUGACUGAUCUAGCUUAUAUUUUUCGUAGGUUUUGAUAGAGAGAGAAUUGGUUGAGAGCUUGGGCAGGAAAUGAGCUAAAUGGUACACUUUAUCUCUCCAAAUCUAUUUAUACAACUAAG